AUACGGAGGAUCCGAGCGUUAUCCGGAUUUAUUGGGUUUAAAGGGUGCGUAGGCGGCCUUUUAAGUCAGCGGUGAAAGUCUGUGGCUCAACCAUAGAAUUGCCGUUGAAACUGGGAGGCUUGAGUAUGUUUGAGGCAGGCGGAAUGCGUGGUGUAGCGGUGAAAUGCUUAGAUAUCACGCAGAACCCCGAUUGCGAAGGCACCCUGCCAAGCCAUGACUGACGCUGAUGCACGAAAGCGUGGGGAUCAAACAGGAUUAGAUACCCUGGUAGUCCACGCAGUAAACGAUGAUCACUAGCUGUUUGCGAUACAGUGUAAGCGGCACAGCGAAAGCGUUAAGUGAUCCACCUGGGGAGUACGCCGGCAACGGUGAAACUCAAAGGAAUUGACGGGG
rnacentral:rRNA from 1 species